rnacentral:rRNA from 1 species
ACGGGAGGUAGCAGUGGGGAAUAUUGGGCAAUGGGCGAAAGCCUGACCCAGCAACGCCGCGUGAAGGAAGAAGGUCUUCGGAUUGUAAACUUCUUUUAUGAGGGACGAAGGACGUGACGGUACCUCAUGAAUAAGCCACGGCUAACUACGUGCCAGCAGCCGCGGUAAUACGUAGGUGGCAAGCGUUAUCCGGAUUUACUGGGUGUAAAGGGAGCGUAGACGGCGAUGCAAGUCUGAUGUGAAAGCCCGGGGCUCAACCCCGGCACUGCAUUGGAAACUGUGUUGCUAGAGUGCAGGAGAGGUAAGUGGAAUUCCUAGUGUAGCGGUGAAAUGCGUAGAUAUUAGGAGGAACACCAGUGGCGAAGGCGGCUUACUGGACGAUUACUGACGCUGAGGCUCGAAAGCGUGGGGAGCAAACAGGAUUAGAUACCCUGGUA